GUGUCUGUAGCUCAGUGGAUAGAGCGUGUUGUUUCCAUGCAAAAGAUCGUGGGUUUCGAACCCUACCUGACGCG
rnacentral:tRNA from 1 species